rnacentral:rRNA from 1 species
AGUGGCGGACGGGUGAGUAACGCGUGAGAAUCUGCCCUUUGGAUGGGGAUAACGACUGGAAACGGUCGCUAAUACCCAAUAUGCCGAGAGGUGAAACUUAUAUGGCCAGAGGAUGAGCUCGCGCCUGAUUAGCUAGUUGGAGUGGUAACGGCACACCAAGGCGACGAUCAGUAGCUGGUCUGAGAGGAUGAUCAGCCACACUGGGACUGAGACACGGCCCAGACUCCUACGGGAGGCAGCAGUGGGGAAUUCUCCGCAAUGGGCGAAAGCCUGACGGAGCAAGACCGCGUGAGGGAGGAAGGCCUACUGGUUGUAAACCUCUUUUGAUAGGGAAGAAGAAAGUGACGGUACCUAUCGAAUCAGCAUCGGCUAACUCCGUGCCAGCAGCCGCGGUAAUACGGAGGAUGCAAGCGUUAUCCGGAAUUAUUGGGCGUAAAGCGUCCGUAGGUGGUUAUUCAAGUCAGCUGUCAAAGGAUGGAGCUUAACUCCAUAAAGGCAGUUGAAACUGUGUAGCUAGAGUAUGGUAGGGGUAGAGGGAAUUCCCAGUGUAGCGGUGAAAUGCGUAGAUAUUGGGAAGAACACCGGUGGCGAAAGCGCUCUACUGGGCCAUAACUGACACUGAUGGACGAAAGCUAGGGGAGCGAAAGGGAUUAGAUACCCCUGUAGUCCUAGCCGUAAACGAUGGAUACUAGGUGUUG